UGUUUCUCUUCCCCAACAGCAGCUCCCCCUGUGGUGGCAGAUGUGGCCUUGACUCACUAUAGAUUAGUUCUGACUGGCUGCGAAUGGAAAUAAAAAUGUUAUUCUCAUCAUCACCUUUGUGUUCGGGGUUGGUCAUCCUGUGUGCUGUGAUACUGAAAGCCUAAGAGGGAGUUUUGCCGACCUUUGUGGUGCUUACAUUGUUAGGACAUUGUGGAGAAUGGGCCAUGAAUAUUCUUUUUCAUAACAUGCAGUGGACGGGUAAUGCUCAUUUCGCCCACGUACAUACCCAGGAGUGGCUAUGCCACGAGGUCUGUGCUGACUUAAGUUGAACUACCAGGUGUCUCCCCAGAGCAGCUUCCCUCUUUGUGUUCUUGUGGGCAGUUAUGAGGGGGCCAUUGCACGGGGUCUUCCUGAAUAUGGUACCAGCCGCUUCUCUCCUGGGGGCACAGUGCUUGGGUUCCUCAGACCUCAGUAUGGGUGCUACUCAUCCUGCCAGUGCACCGAGAGCCCACAGUUCAGGACCCAGAGGGCACUGAGCACUCUGUCAUCUUUCUUCUUUAGUCCUCAGGGCCGUGUGAGGCAUGGCGCCUCUGAUCCCUACGUGAAGGUGUCCAGUCUGGAUGGGCACCCCCAUUAGAUCGCUGGAGUGCGGCAGGAUCUGAACGCAGCAGUCUCCCCCAUGCUGAUUGUGUCUGGCUACGGAGUUUCCCUGUCACUGUGUCAUCUUGGUCAUUUUUUCUCAUGUGUCUUCUGUCCUGUGCUGGGAUCAAUGUUCAUUCUUUCUAAACUGGCCUCUCCUUCAGUGUCAGCUUCCUGAGAUGUCUGCUGCCCAUUUCUUCUGAGUCUUCAGCACUCUCUAAGGGAAAAUCUGCCCUUGCUUACCCCCAAACUUGAGCCCAGUGGCACUUCUCUUUCUGGCAACCACCUGGUUUCUUCAUUUGUCCCUAGCUCCUGGGACAGCCCUUCUGGGAAGUCUCCCAUGUUUUUUCUUCCCAGUCUCGUUAGGAGCCACUCUCCUGUACAGUCACAACACCAAGACAUCAGGUCUUGAGCCACAUGUGCCCCAGACUGUGUCAAGACCCUGCCUUCCCUUCCGUGUCCUGGAUAGGUAAGAGGGGUCUGCAUCCAGAUCCUCUGUUGCUGGCCCUCCAGGCUUCCCUUUAAAUGGUCUCAUGGGUACAAAGACCCAUGGAAAACAACUGGAAACCCGAGUCCUGGAGCUGUGAAGCAGCGGGAGUUGGAAAUGCCCAUGGGCCCUCACUUUCCCACUCAUACUCAUCUUUUUCUCCUAUUUGCUUCACUAGGCAUCUCCUCUUCGUGUAUCCAGUUCCUUUCAGGUGACAGAGCACAGCUUCAGACCAGAGUGUCAACUGCUCAUACAUCGGGUUUUCUCAGAGGAAACCUUGCUGCAGGGAGGCCGGAUUUGGGGAUCUCCAAGGGACUCCAGAUUGGGGCACCCUUGGGGUCCGGAAGGGCAGAAAGGUCGAGUGAAGCCAGGGAAGGGCUUUCCUGGGGAGAAACCCUUCGAGUGUAGAGAGUGUGAGCGAGCCUUUAGCAGCUAGGCACACCUGGUUCAGCACUUCAUCGGGCACACGGGGGAGAAACCCUAUGUAUGUGCACAGUGCGGCAAGGCCUUCCGGUGCAGCUCAGAGCUCUCCCAGCACCGACGGGUCCACACUGGGGAGAGGCCCUACGAGUGCACGCAGUGUGGCAAGGCCUUCCACCGAAGCGUGUACCUGGCGCAACACUCGGUCAUCCACUCCGGGGAGUUGCCCCACAGGUGCCUCGAGUGCGGGAAGGCCUUCAAGCACAGGUCACACCUCCUGCAGCACCAGUGUGUCCACUCCUGAAAGACACAGGUGUGUAGUGGCGGAGUCCUGCCUCUCACAGUGGACCCACAACGUGUUGAAACCGCUUCUGUGCAAACAAGGUGAGGACGCUCCUCCCUCCUCUUUUGGCCAGCACUUGCUUAACUAAGCAUGUGAGCCGUGGCCCUAGAGAGAAGCCCCUCCAGUCAGAGGUGCAACCAGAGAGGAGUGGGGAAUUCUCACCAGAGGCUCAACUCUGAGAGCUCAUGCUGAGGAUGGCCCAAGCUAGAAGGAACAUACUUGCUGUCCUAGAAUUCUUAGUGAGGAACAGCCACAUGGCUAUGUAAUUGUCACUGUGCAGACUCAUGUAGAGCACCACUUGCUCAUGCUGGGAAGUCAUGCUGGAGUCUGACUGGCUUUGGUGUUUGCUCUGUGAACCUAUAAAGGCCUCCAUGGUUAACACCAGGAAGAUGACUUAGUAUGAUUAAAAAAUGACUGUGGUCCCAGCUACUCCAGAGGCCAGCCCUAGCAACCUAGACCCUGUCUCAAAGUAAGUAGAUAAAUAGGGCCAGAGUGGAGUAUUUGCCUAGCACACACAAAGCCCUGGGUUCCAUCCCUAACACUGAAAAAAGGAAAAAAGAAUAAAUAGGAGGAGGAGGGGGACAGGGUAUGAGAGAAAACAUAAUGCCUUCAUACCCUCCUUCAGAUUCCUUGCCGGGCCUCCUGGAGUUUGUCUUGAGUUUUCCUCUCGGUGGGGGAAUGUUUAGGAGGUACACUCUGCACUUUGCUUUCUAUACUGUUCACAGCUAUCCUGUGGCAGGGGAGCUGUGCAGUGAGAGAAGCUCUUCAUUCUCCGGAAACCCCUGUUCCAAAUCCCUACCGUGAGGUGUCAGUUCCUUGUGAUGGGAAGGCUCCAGUCGUGGAUGCCACAGUGUGAUGUGCACCACUGGAGACUGCAGAAGGCCUCCCAAUCAUGUGGUCUGAACUCCCAGUACUCAUGCCUCCUGAUCCCAUGCACUUGUUGGUUUUCUGUAUUUUCUGGGUGGCAGCAUGGGCAGGCACCUUGUCCCUGUUCAGCUGAGCCCCUCCAUUCCCAUGUUUCUGGGGCUUUUUAGUCCUGUGAUGGGUACUUUGCAGACCCCCCCCAGUAGUUGUCUAGGGGUUGAACUGUAGCUAAAACACAGCUAAGGCACUGCACAGUGCACCCAGGAGAGGGCACAUGGGGAGGGAGCUUGUUGUCCGGUUGUGUGGGGGUCAGAGAGGUUUGUGCAGGGUAACAUACCUGGUGUCUUAGCAGGUGAAGCAGGACAUCCAUUACAGGUUUGUGUGGGUUCCAUGGUUAACCACUGAACAUGGCAACUUGAAAUUGUUUUCAAACUAUAUCAGAUAAUCAGCGUUAGGUUAAUAAGUACGUUUUAUGAAAAGCACAAGGUCUUCACUCCCUCCCUUGAGCGUCCUGCAGCCUUUUCAGAGGCCAGUGCUUCACAUUUCCAUGAUGGGCACGUUCUUUCCUGUGGUGUUGUAUGUACAUGUUCUGUGAGUCAAAAGCUCUCUUGUUUGGGGGGACAGUCGCAUCAUUUUCUGUUCUUUGGGGAAGAGAGUUGACUUGUGAAGACCCCAGCUGCCCCUUCUCUCUAGGAGACUGUAGGUGUUGUGCCAUGGCUCUGCAUACACUGAGCUCCAGGGUCCAAGCAAGUUGUGUAAAGCUCUCUAAAAACAUCUUGGCUCUCAAGGAGGGGUCUUCUUUGCAGGCCUGGGGACCUGGUCCCCAGUGUAUUCCCAGAGCAGGAGUGAUGUUUCCCCGGGUGAAGGACACCCUGGGGUUUGUUCUCUCACCUUCCAGGUCUUUCCACAGUCUUCCUCUGUGUUCAGCACAGGGACUUCCCAUGAGCUUGCUCUGGUGAGGGAAGGAGGCUCAGGAGACACUGCCUUGGAUCACGGCAACUCACCACUGGGUCCCCAGAGAAGGGCCCCCACAUGACUGCGUCAUGGGUCCUGCCCCUGAGCAGAGAAGGCGCUGGCUGACUAAUAUAGGAAACACAUGAAAACAGUUCCUCAGAGUUAGCCUGACCCUGUUUUAUUAGCCAUUUUUAACUCAGUGAAAAUUUUAAGGGCUGCUUUCCAGAGCAUUCAGUUCAGCAUUAAUUGAGCUAAAAUGCAUUUUCACAUCACAGUUAAGUCUUUUUUAUUGUGUUGCAUUUCAUGGAUGAAGCAGUCAGUAGAAAGGGGGGGAGUGGACCAGCACUGACUGUCCUCUGGGCAGCCUUCCUGAUUGCUCUCCAGUUGGUAGACUCCACAAAGAGAAGGUAGAAAAGGAACCAGCCAGGCAAGCCUGCAGAGACGCUAGAAAUGGUGGUGUUGGUGGGUAAGGGUGAAAAUGCUAGGAAGGUUCCUCCCACAGCUAGCUUCUCACCCUUGGGUGUGAGGUGCAAACAGGGCAGGGUGUCUCAGCAUUCCUCCCUGGAGACUCUGGUCACAUGAACUUCGUGUUCAAAAAUCAAGAAAUCACUGAGUGAACAAAACGUGUCCCGGAGCUUGCCCCGUGAAGGAAGGCUCUGGAGCAGUGGACAUGGUGGGAGGAGCGGCCUGGAGCAGUCGGACUGCCCUUGGUGCCAGCUGUCUGGCUUCAUCGCACUCCCCAUGCUCUUCUCUCUGUUCUGUGCAUUCUGCAUGUUUUCCAUAACAUAGCAACCCCCAAAACCUCUCCAUCAUUUUGUGAUUUUUGUUCUCUUGAUCUGAUAUUUUUUGUUUCAAUUUAAAACAAUAUCUGUUGAACUCAAUUUGUAAUUCAUUUAAAAAAUCUUUUAUUCCAAAAAAUACUACUUACAGUUGUCUUGCCAACAUCAGGAACCUCAGAUUAAUUCUGUCUCCAGAAAAAACAGGAAAAGGCAAAAACUGCCUGAUAUAUAGGUUCUUCCAGUCUCAACCAGGACUUAUUUGUGUUUUAUUUGUGUUUUUUUUUAAACCACCAAAGACUCAAGACUGUUGUAAGAUACCAGCAACAGACUGCUAGUCUCUAAAUAUGUCCACAUCUGGCCCCCAGAAUCUGUGAAUGUGUUUAUACCUGCAAAAGGGACGUUCAGAAAUGAACAUGUAGGAUCUGGGACUGGGUGGGUGGGUGUGGGAGGAUUCCAUCUGUGCUCACAGGGGUGUGAUGGGAGAUGGUGGCAUGAAGAUGGAGGAGGAGCCAGGCAUGGGGUGCUCACCUGUAAUCCCAGCAGCUCAGAUGGCUGAGGCAAGAGGAUUACAAGUUCAAGCCCAACCUCAGAAACUUAGUGAGGCCGUAAGCAAUUUGGCAAGACUCUGUAUCAAAAUAAAAAAAUUAAAAAGGCUUGGGGUGUGAGUGGGUGGUUAAGCACCCCUGGGUUCAAUCCCCAGUACCAAAAAAAAAGGAAAAAUAUGGAAGAGGGGUGUCAGCCAAGGCAUUCAGGAAGUUCCAGGAGCUGAGAAAAGUGACAGGACGGUUCCUCUCCAGAGCCAUUCUUUCUUAGAAGAGGACAAGAAUGAACACCUGGUGCAGAGCAUGGUUCUUCUGUUCAGGCCUCAUAUGAGAUGGGAGCCGGGAGGCUGGGCCUCCUGUAGACCUCCUCCAGUGGGUUCCUUUGCUUUAAACAGAUACACAUGGCAUUUCCUUCCUUUUUCAGUGUUAAGUUUGAUAUAGAGUGAUGCCCAAAUCCACUAGAAAAACAUGGCUGCAGAGUUGCCUUCUGAAGUGGGCCUCUCACUCUGGAGAGUCCAACCAAAGGGAAGAGUUGGGGUGAGGUGCAUCUGUCCCCCACCUGUGGGGAGAGUAGCCACAAGCAGGGCUUCUGGGUGUAUGUUGGCUUUGGUCCUGUGGGUGCAGCUGUGGCUCAGCUCAGGCCAGUUCCUUGAGUAGCAUUUAGAAGGGUCAAGCAAGUGUGGGUGUUGGCCACCUAGGGCACAGGUCCACAUGCUGUCAGUUGGUUUCAGCAGCGCUGCAGGCCAAGAACCAGCUCGGCCCUGUUAGUGCCUCUCUCCUUUCUGUGGAGCCAGGGAGACCUGACCACAGCACAGUACAGUGAUCAUCUAGUGGUGUUUUAAGCCACCAAAGUUUUGGCAAUUUGUACAGCAGCAACGGAAAUGUAUUAUACCUCCCAAUAUUUAAAUGUGGAAAAUGUAUAAUAAAUUCAUUCAAACAACACAGAAUUGGUGUGUAUAUGAGAACUGGGGAUAUCCAAGUGUGUUACAAUAUUUAUAAGCAUUUUCAAUCAUGGAUACAGAUGCAGAAAUCCAAACUAAAAUAACUGGAAACAAAAUUAAAUCCAAUAGCUUUAUGAUGUUUUCAGGCUCAAAAGCCAACAUCAGUGGGCUGGGGUUGUGGCUCAGUGGUAGAGCGCUCAUCUUGCAUGUGUGAGGCACUGGUUAGAUCCUCAGCACCACAUAAAAAUAAAUAAGUAAAAGAUAUUUUGUCCAUCUACAACUAAAACAAAUUUUUUUUAAAAAGCCCAUAUGGUGGUUUACUUGAGAAGUGUUACACAACCACAUACACAUUAUACUUGAUGUCAGGAUACAGAGAUGUGCUAGUCGGAUCAUGAAUCAUCAGGUUUCCUAGGUAGGACAAAGGUCUAGCAGGGCCAGCUGCUGUUGAUCUUUGUCUGACAGAGAUGAGCCCUGAGACUCACAGCUAUCAGCUACUCAGCUUCAGCUGAUCACGUGAGUUUUGUGAAGAAAUUGGGGGGAUAUAAAGUGCUUCCUGCUCCCAGAAAGGGAAAAGUGAACUUUCCCUUCUCUGAGGCCCUCAGGAGAGGUUUCUGAAUCAAAUAAAACCAGUGUGGCCAGAGGAGGAGGGAGAGGGAUGAGAGAUUCAGCACUCGGCAGACAGAGAAUGAGAACAAGGCAUUAAAAAAAUCCACUGUAGCUCAGUAGUAGAG
rnacentral:lncRNA from 1 species